AUUGACCGAUGGCGGCAGGCCUAACACAUGCAAGUCGAACGAGUGGCGGACGGGUGAGUAAUGUCUGGGAAACUGCCUGAUGGAGGGGGAUAACUACUGGAAACGGUAGCUAAUACCGCAUACCAUCAGAUGUGCCCAGAUGGGAUUAGCUGUUUGGUGGGGUAACGGCUAACCAGGGCGACGAUCCCUAGCUGGUCUGAGAGGAUGAACAGCCAACCUGGAACUGAGACACGGUCCAGACUCCUACGGGAGGCAGCAGUGGGGAAGAUUGCACAAUGGGCGCAAUCCUGAUGCAGCCAUGCCGCGUGUAUGAAGAAGGCCUUCGGGUUGGAAAGUACUUUCAGCGGGGAGGCGUUACCCGCAGAAGAAGCACCGGCUAACUCCGGGCCAGCAGCCGCGGUAAUUC
rnacentral:rRNA from 1 species